UUCACCAUAGAAACACUAACAAAGCUAUUAGUGCUUCUAAGCAAUUUUUUGUUGGUUUUAGUUUCUUUUGGGAGAAAAUAGGUAUAAAUGUUGUCUAAACACUCCUAAUCCAUCUUUAACUCUUCUUAUUAGUCAAAUGCAAUGGAUUCUGACACAUUUUAACUAUAGAAACACUAACAAAGAUAUUGACUACUUCUAAGCAAUUUUUUGUUGGUUUUAGCAUCUUUUGGGAGAAAAUGGGUAUAAGUGUUGUCUAAACACACCUAAUCCAUAUUUUAAUCUUAUAAUUAGUCAAAUGCAUUAGAUUGUAACACAUUUUGACCAUAGAAACCCUAACAAAGCUAUUUAGUGCUUCUACGCAAUUUUUUGGUUGUUUUAGCCUCUUUUGGGAUAAAAUGGGUAUAAGUGAUGUCUAAACACUCCUAAUCCAUCUUUAUCUCUUCUAAUUAGUCAAAUGCAUUGGAUUCUGACACAAUUAACCGUAGAAACACUAACAAAGCUAUUGGCUGCUUUUAAGCAAUGUUUUGUUGGUUUUAGCCUCUUUUGGGAGAAAAUGGUUGUAAGUGUUAUCUGAACACUCCUAAUCUAUCUCUACCUCAUAUAAUUAGUCAAAUGCAUUGGAUUCUGACACAAUUAACCAUAGAAACACUAACAAAGUUAUUUAGUGCUUCUAAGCAAUGUUUUGUUGGUUUUAGCCUCUUUUGGGAGAAAAUAGGUAUAAGUGUUGUCUAAACACCCUUAAUCCAUCUGUAACUCAUAUAAUUAGUCAAAUGCAUUGUAUUGUGAUAAAUGUUGACCAUUGAAAAAGUAACAAAGCUAUUCACUGCUUCCAAGCAAUUUUUUGUUGGUUUUAGCCUCUUCUAGGGGAAAAUGGGUAUAAGUGUUGUCUAAAUACUCAUAAUCCAUUUCUAACUCAUAUAAUUAGUCAAAUGCAUCAGAUUGUGUUACAUUUUGACUAUAAAAACAUUAA
rnacentral:sRNA from 1 species